AUGUCGAUCCGCCGCCUGGGCGCUUCGGAUUUUCGCGGAGUCCGCGAGCGCCGCUCCGACGCCUUCUCCUUCGAGAUCUGGUUUCGCGAGAAACGUCUCAUCCUCGGCACCUUCGACACCGCAGAGGAGGCGGCCCGCGCGCACGACGCGGCGGCGAUGUGGCGCCUCCUGAGGCCUCGUCGGGAUAUGAAUUUUCCCAACGUGUCGAGCCAGCGGUCGCAGGAUCUGACACCUCUCCCGCGGCUUUUCACCGACGAGGAUCGUCGUGUCCACCGGAGGCGGCAUCGUCGCCUCGCCAUCGCGGAGAAGGACGUGGAAGCCUUGCCGGUGUGGCGCGGAGGCUUCCCGCAGGACAUCGUCGACGAGCGCCAGUUGUACAAGCAAAGGAGGUUGGAGAGGGACGGGGGAGGAGGGAGCGAGCCGCCUAUCGGGAGGACAAGAGUUUGCGGAAGCAGGCAACUCAAUUGA
rnacentral:rRNA from 1 species